GCGAACGCUGGCGGCAGGCUUAACACAUGCAAGUCGAGCGCCCCGCAAGGGGAGCGGCAGACGGGUGAGUAACGCGUGGGAACGUGCCCUUUAGUUCGGAAUAACUCAGGGAAACUUGAGCUAAUACCGGAUAAGCCCUUCGGGGGAAAGAUUUAUCGCUGAAGGAUCGGCCCGCGUAAGAUUAGCUAGUUGGUGAGGUAAUGGCUCACCAAGGCUAUGAUCUUUAGCUGUUCUGAGAGGAAGAUCAGCCACACUGGGACUGAGACACGGCCCAGACUCCUACGGGAGGCAGCAGUGGGGAAUAUUGGACAAUGGGCGCAAGCCUGAUCCAGCCAUGCCGCGUGAGUGAUGAAGGCCUUAGGGUUGUAAAGCUCUUUUACCAGGGAAGAUAAUGACGGUACCUGGAGAAUAAGCCCCGGCUAACUUCGU
rnacentral:rRNA from 1 species